CGCGCGCAGAACGCGGCGGUCAGCUGCGCCCGGCCUGAAGUUGUCCCAACCGCGGCCGCGUCGGUCGCCCUUUUGACUUGCAGCAGGGCGGGCAGAGCGACUUAGAGGAAAAGUGACUUUUUGUACCCUCCUGCAGGGAGCAGGUUCUCUGUCCUUGUUUAAUUAGACAUUUCUCAGGUGGGCACUUUGAAUUCCUUCCAGUCAAGACUCAGGUGUUCAACUUGUUUUGUCGGCCGUCUUCCUCCACCCUUCUUCUCCCAUUCAAAACAAAAAGAAUCCUGCCUCUGCUCUGAAGCCUUUCUGUUCGCUCCAGUGAAAAUUAGUCAUCCACCGGGCGCGGUGGCUCACGCCUGCAAUCCCAGCACUUUGGGAGGCCGAGAUUCUCCUCAACCAUGAUGAAUAAUGCCUGGGAGAGGGGAAGAAGUAAUGGAAGCCUGCACGGGUGGCCCCAAGGCAGGCAGUCCUUGGACUCCCUGGACUGCGGCUGUCCUUGACCUCACUGCUGGGGCAUGUAAAAGGAACGACUCAGAGUCUAACAGGCCACAGUCUGGGCUUGAUGUUCACCGAUUUUCCCUCAGCUCCGACUGUGGCUCCUCUCAGCUGACUCUGACCCUGCUCUCAGCCGGGCUGCAUCUGCCCAUCUCAGCACAUCAAUAAACAGCAGAGGGAAACUACCACCUUGGAAGGAGCCAGGCAGUUUCUGCUGGGUAGGCCGCAGCCUGGAACAUGGAAGUAGCUUCUUCCAUCCUACACUGGAAACCACCCAGCAUCCCGGGCCCUCCAGAGAAGAGCCAGACUCCCUUCCCUGGGAAGAGACUAUAGUCCUAUCUGUAUCCUCCGUGGUCAUUGCCCCUCAGUCACAGCAAUGAAGAGCAAAUUACCUGUUUUCUGUAUGUUCCUCUGACAACAACUGCCACAGAGUAAAUAUGAAAGGUUCUG
ensembl:lncRNA ARHGAP29-AS1 ARHGAP29 antisense RNA 1